AAAUUUAUAGUUUAAAAAAAACAUUAUACUUUCAAUAUAAAAUUAAAAAUUUA
rnacentral:tRNA from 1 species